AAGUAUAUGGAUAUUAUUUUGGCCUUUUCUGGGGCUGAAGAAAAGAAGAUUUAGAAGACUACUGAUGGUAAGUAUACUUUUUUUAUUGUACAGGAUUAGUUUAAUGGACCACCUCACUAUUCUUAGGGUGAGGGGGUAGGUAGGGUUAAUGUAAAGGGGUUGGCUUGGGGCUUGGAAACCCCUAACCACCCAGGGGGGUGAGCAAUG